AGAACGAGACAAAGAAAAGAAGAGAGAAUGAAUGAGCAUAUACACGCAAGUGUUUUUUGUAAUCUUUUUUUUUUUAAAUGUCCCUCAUGAAUGCCGUAUUCGCUUCCAAACAAAUAACAACGGAAGGAAAACACAGCAUGCUGUGUUGUUGUAGAUAGUGCGGUAAAGAAAA
rnacentral:ribozyme from 12 species